ACACGCAACCAACAGUGGGGACGUCGGGAAUGCGUCACCAGAUGCGUCCGUGGAGCAAGAGGAGGGCUCGGGAAACGACGGAAUUCAACCGCUGCUUUCUGGAACCGUGGGUCCGGGGUGCCAGCGUGCAGUAAGGUACGGGCGGGCCCGAAGCCAGCCUGCCGCUGAGACCUUGCAAGUGAAAACAGCUUUAAAGGACAACCUGCAAUUAACACGGGAACAAUUAUCUUCCUAAUUUAGGUUAAUUUCUACUUCACAGCACCAGUUGGCAGGUGGGGAGGCAGCCCUGGAGACAUCUAUGUGGGUGCUUUUCGCUUUGUUCUCCCAAGUCCACACGUCUUAAAUAUCGUAAGGAAGAUUUCCAGCAUCCACCAGCACCUUCUACAAAAGGACCUGAGCUCCAGAGAGUCGGUUCAGCUCUGAGCUCGGGCUGGCUGCACUUGCAUGAGGAGAGAGCCUUGGGUCAGAAGAGCUCCUACUGGCACUGGCACUGCUCAGUCCUGGGUCUGCAGCACCGCAAAGGAUCCCUGGGCAGGAGUCUGCUCUCGGGGCCCAGACCAGCCCUGGAGGGCAGGAGGGGCCGGGCUCCCACCGCAGUGGGGCAGGCGGGCAGGGCCCUGGACGCGGGCACUGGGUGGGUGCAGAGAGCCCUGGUGUCCAGGAGCACCGGCAGGGCCUUUCCAAGGACACCUGUGCCGAUGGCCCCGGGCCUCAGCACAGGCACGGCGAGGCCCAGAGGGCCCUGCCGGCCAUGCAGUAAACCAAGCGCUCUGGCUGCUCUUCUGUGGAGUGGGGCUUCCCUGGUGGCGCAGUGGUUGAGAAUCUGCCUGCCAAUGCAGGGGACACGGGUUCGAGCCCUGGUCUGGGAAGAUCCCACAUGCCGCAGAGCUACUACGCCCGUGAGCCACAACUACUGAGCCUGCGCGUCUGGAGCCUCUGCUCCGCAACAAGAGAGGCCGCAAUAGUGAGAGGGAGGCCCGCGCACCGCGAUGAAGAGUGGCCCCCGCUUGCCGCAACUAGAGAAAGCCCUCGCACAGAGAUGAAGACCCAACACAGCCAAAAAUAAAUAAAUAAAUAAAAUAAUAAUGAUAAUAAUAAAAA